AUUGAACGCUGGCGGCAUGCUUUACACAUGCAAGUCGAACGGCAGCGCGGGGCAACCUGGCGGCGAGUGGCGAACGGGUGAGUAAUAUAUCGGAACGUACCCAAGAGUGGGGGAUAACGUAGCGAAAGUUACGCUAAUACCGCAUACGAUCUUAGGAUGAAAGCAGGGGACCGCAAGGCCUUGUGCUCCUGGAGCGGCCGAUAUCUGAUUAGCUAGUUGGUGAGGUAAAGGCUCACCAAGGCGACGAUCAGUAGCUGGUCUGAGAGGACGACCAGCCACACUGGGACUGAGACACGGCCCAGACUCCUACGGGAGGCAGCGGUGGGGAAUUUUGGACAAUGGGCGCAAGCCUGAUCCAGCAAUGCCGCGUGAGUGAAGAAGGCCUUCGGGUUGUAAAGCUCUUUUGUCAGGGAAGAAACGGCUGAGGAUAAUACCUUCGGCUAAUGACGGUACCUGAAGAAUAAGCACCGGCUAACUACGUGCCAGCCGCCGCAGUAA
rnacentral:rRNA from 1 species